UAGUCGCAGCUCUUGUUAGGAGAGUUGAGGAAAGUCCAGGCUCGCCCGGUGCUGAGAUGCCCGGAGUGUUCGUGCCAUCUGCAAAGGUGGGCAGCAAGAAUUUACUUGUCUGACGGCGGAGAAAUCAUGCUAAGUCCAACGUGAUAGGCUGAGAGUAUCCUGAAAGUGCCACAGUGACGGAGUUCGUCUGGAAACGGACGAAAUGGAACGAGGUAAACCCCACGAGCGAGCAACCCGAAAUUAGGUAGGGGCACUAUCCUGCGGGAAAUGAACCAA
rnacentral:RNase_P_RNA from 1 species